UCCCUUGUGGCUCAAGAGGGUAAAGAAUCUGCCUGCAGUGCAGAAGACCUGGGUUCAAUCCCUGGAUAGGGAA
rnacentral:tRNA from 1 species